AUGGAUGAUAGACCUUCAGAAAUGAGAGGAAAUAAUGUGAUUCAGUCCAUUGAGGCCACCGAGACCAAUCAGUUUGAGCAUUUACAGACAUCAGAGGAAAUUACAAGAUGCUCUUCACCCAAUAUAACCAAAUUAAGCUUAGGGAAGAAAAAGAAGAAAAAAAUGGAUAGAAGUGAGAAACAACAGUGUGAAUCUGUUGAUGUCAAUCUGGAUGUGUCUCAGCUUGAUGUCGUCUCUGGGCUGAUAGCAGAAAAGAUGACUGAAAGAAGGCCGAGCGAUGGCAGUGCAGUGGAACAUUCGGAAGGUAAUGCAGCACAUGUGUUAAAGGUGGCCAAACGCAAAAAGAAAAGUCAGAAUGCAAGUUCUCCAUCUCAAGCUGAUGAUAUCAUUGGACUGGAAAACUCAACAGAACAUGUGGAAAAAACUAAUUCACCUGUCCUUUCAGACAGCUUGUUUACCAGUAAAGAGAAAAAGAAGAAAAAGCACAAAUUAAAAGAGCAAGAGGAAGCCGAGUCUGGUGCAGAUACUCAUAGUGCAGACAAUGUUCAUUCAGUUGAGAUGGAGCAGUUCAGUGAGUCACAAACAACUGAGAUGCAACCCAAAAGAACAAAAAAGAAGAGAAAAGACAAAGAGAGGACAAAGACGGCACACAUAGAGGACAAUAGUGGUACAGACAUCCUGUCAAAUGAAACUUGUGAAGCUCCUGAGACUGAACAACCUGAGCAUAUACAGACAUCAGAGGAAAUCACAGGAUUAAAAUCAGUGAGGAAGAAAAAGAAGAAGAAUGGCAGAGAAGAAUCUCAGUAUGAAUCAGUUGAUGCUGCUCUGGAUGUGAAUUCAGUGUCUCAGUUUAAUAAUGUCACUGAUAGAUCAACUACUCAAGAGACUUUUGAAGAAAGACCAAGUGAUGUUGUUGAACAUACAGAAACUGAAUUAAAUGACACUAAACACAAAAAGAAGAGGAAACGAUCAAGUCUGUCUGUUAAUAACAGUUCUGAGUUCAGCUCUUCUGAUGCACAAAUGCAGGAAACUGUCGCACCUGAGAGGAAGAGGAAGAAAACAAGAAACUCUGAUCACAUCACAAAUGUAGGUGGUGAACUGACUUUGGAAAGUUCUGAUCGUACAGUGCCGUUUGAAAAGUCUCAGAGCCCGAUGUUGAAAUCACCUGAAGUAAUUACAAAGAAAUCCAAGAGAAAGAAAAACAAGGAAAUGAAUGAAAGCAUAAAUUACAUACCGGAUGAUAGUGCUGAACUAGAAACCGUACAAACAACGAGGACUGACUCAGUCAUACAAAACAACAAUGCAGACAGACAGGCCAACAUUAUUAUCUCACUGGGAGAUUCUGCAGAUAUUAGAAAGAAAAAAAAGAAGAGGAAGAAAGAUACUGAAAAUAAUAUCACGGAAAUCUCCAUGUCUCAGAACGCUGACUCCGCUGCAGCAGUCAAUGGAGAUGAGACAACCAAAAGACCUGAAAAACACAGACAAAGGUGUCAUGACAGAGCAGGUUGUGUUCAAACUGAGUGUAAUGCAAAUAACUUUCUUGAUUCACACAGAAAACAGGAUACAUAUGAAGAGAAUCACCUAAAGGAGGGAUCUGGGGCAGGAGAAUCAUCUGUGUUGCACAAAAGAAAGAAAAAGAGGAAAAGAAGGGAGGAAAGUUUAUCUGUACUCGAUAGCUAA
rnacentral:lncRNA from 1 species